CCCUUACCAAACCUACACAAGACAUUAUAAAAUUUGACACGUUAUCUCACAACGCGGUCUUCAAUAGUUCGAUCCAAUAUUAUAAAUCUUCCACACAGAAUGAAGAAAGAAAAAAUCAAAGGGAACUAUUCUAACGAAAGAAUACUCGUGAACAAGCAGAACAAACAAUUCUAAUUCCAUGUCUAGGAAAUGAGCCUCUACCUAAUCCUGAGUGGAAGAAUAGCAUGUUUGGUUUCACAUCUCAUCUCAGAUAUAGUUUUUCACAUUUAUUGAGAAGCUAGUAGUUAUAACUUUAGCCUUUUAUAUCCUAAACGUGAUUUCUUACUUCUCAAUUGGUUUCUAAACAGGCAUGCACGUAAGGAAUUUUGGAUCCUCAAAGAAAAUUGAAUGCCACCAUCCAAAAGAAUAAGAUUAUUCAUUAGGGGUACUUAAUCAAAAUCAGGAGAAGGAAGAAUACAUACUCGG
rnacentral:lncRNA from 1 species